AUACUUAAAGAAGAAAUAUUAAAAAGUACUAAAAUAUUUAUGUACUAAUUAAGUAUAUAUAAUGACUUUGCGUACUAAGAUGCAAGCUCGAUAGGAAUUAAGCAUAGCAAGGAGACUUUUCAAUGAGCCCCAAGAUCCAAAAUGAUAAUAGAGUUUAAUUGUUUUGUUGCUAUAGGGAUUCAAAUUGUAACUAGCUUUUUGAAGAGUUUGGUGUAUAUUGUAGCGA